UACGGAGGGAGCUAGCGUUGUUCGGAAUUACUGGGCGUAAAGCGCACGUAGGCGGCUUUUUAAGUCAGGGGUGAAAUCCCGGGGCGUCAACCCCCGGAAUGCCCCUUGAAAACUGGAGAGCUAGAAUCUUGGAGAGGCGAGUGGAAUUCCGAGUGUAGAGGUGAAAUUCGUAGAUAUUCGGAAGAACACCAGUGGCGAAGGCGACUCGCUGGACAAGUAUUGACGCUGAGGUGCGAAAGCGUGGGGAGCAACAGG
rnacentral:rRNA from 1 species